UUUGCAGCGGGAGAAGGUGAUAAGGUAAUAACCUCAGCGAUUGACGUUACUCAGCAGAAGAAGCACGGGCUAACUCCGUGCCAGCAGCCGCGGUAAUACGGAGGGUGCAAGCGUUUAUCGGAAUUACUGGGCGUAAAGCGCACGCAGGCGGUCUGUCAAUUCGGAUGUGAAAUCCCCGGGUUCACCGUGGGAACUGCAUUGGAAACUGGCAGGCUAGAGUCUGGUAGAGGGAGGUAGAAUUCCAGGUGAAGCGGUGAAAUGCGUAGAGAUCUGGAGGAAUCCCGGUGGCGAAGGCGCCCCCUUGUACAUAGACUGCCGUUCAGGUGCGAAAGCGUGGGGAGCAACCAGGAUAAGAUACCUUGGUAGUCCACGCGGUAAACGAUGUCGACUAGGAGGUUGUGCCCUUGAGGCGUGGCUUCCGGAGCUAACGCGUUAAGUCGUCCGCCUGGGGAGUACGGCCGCAAGGUUAAAACUCAAAUGAAUUGACGGGGGCCCGCACAAGCGGUGGAGCAUGUGGUUUAAUUCGAUGCAACGCGAAGAACCUUACCUACUCUUGACAUCCAGAGAACUUUCCAGAGAUGGAUUGGUUCCUUCGGGAACUGUGAGACAGGUGCUGCAUGGCUGUCGUCAGCUCGUGUUGUGAAAUGUUGGGUUAAGUCCCGCAACGAGCGCAACCCUUAUCCUUUGUUGCCAGCGGUUAGGCCGGGAAUUCAAAGGAGACUGCCAGUGAUAAACUGGAGGAAGGUGGGGAUGACGUCAAGUCAUCAUGGCCCUUACGAGUAGGGCUACACACGUGUUACAAUGGCGCAUACAAAGAGAAGCGACCUCGCGAGAGCAAGCGGUCUUCAUAAACUGUGUUGUAGUCCGGAUUGGAGUCUGCAAUUCGACUCCAUGAAGUGGGAAUCGUUAGUAAUCGUAGAUCAGAAUGCUACGGUGAAUACGUUCCCGGCCCUUGUACACACCGCCCGUCACACCAUGGGAGUGGGUGCAAAAGAAGUAGGUAGCUUACCCUUCGGGAGGGCGCUACC
rnacentral:rRNA from 1 species